CGCUCACUGGCGCAGCAGCAGAAACGGUGGCGGCGCGUGUGUGGCGUGUGCUAUCGCGCGUGUGUGACGUUGACGUUGCUGCCGACACCUGGCCGGCUGGUGUGACGCCGGCUGACAGGACCUACCGGCGUUGCUGCGUCCCGGGCCGCUGCUCCCGCGCCACCGUCGUUCCGGUCACAUACAACUUCUGCAACUAUCACCCUAUCACUCGCCAACAGUAUCCUGUGCAGAUUAUCCUGCACAAGCGCUGUUUCAUGCUGGCGUAAGCUUGAACCCAAUCUGAGAGAGAGAUCUGCUUUAGUCAAAGGCGGCGGCGGCGGCGCCUCCCAGCGGGGAAGCAGCCGGGACAGGACGGCAGGCAGUGCGAGCUGCCGACGCUCCGCGAGAUCUGCGCUCCAGCGCACAGGUAGGUAGCCUGCAGGGACACACGGGAGCACAACUUCUACCUCUGCGACGGGCUAAACUCGCGUCUGGAGUGCAGCGCUCGUGCCGUGAAGCGGAGGAAGGAUAUAUUUAGUGCCGGCCAGUGAGAGUCGACAGUGUCGCGUCAGUUCUGCAGCAUCGUUGGACUGGAACACGCCGUUUCUUCGCCCGCAAAGUGAGACCGAGUUUUGUGGCAGUGCGUGUUUGUGCUCGAGCGAGACAGUGCAGAUUGUAGAGUGGCGAUAAAGUCGAGUGCGAUUUGUCGGAGUGUAGUCGUGUGGUGCGGUUGGGUAUGGUCGUCUAGAAGAGUGUCGGGUCCUCCGACGGUGUGGAUGUUUCGGCCGACGCGUUGGCUAGGAGUGCGUGCCGUGUCGAGUGUCGGAGCAGAAAGCUCUCGAGGCGGGCGGCGGUGAGGGGCUGGGGCGCGCGGCCAUGGCGCCAUG